AGAGUUUGAUCAUGGCUCAGAUUGAACGCUGGCGGCAGGCCUAACACAUGCAAGUCGAGCGGAAACGAGAAUAGCUUGCUAUUCGGCGUCGAGCGGCGGACGGGUGAGUAAUGCCUGGGAAAUUGCCCUGAUGUGGGGGAUAACCAUUGGAAACGAUGGCUAAUACCGCAUAAUAGCUUCGGCUUAAAGAGGGGGACCUUCGGGCCUCUCGCUUCAGGAUAUGCCCAGGUGGGAUUAGCUAGUUGGUGAGGUAAAGGCUCACCAAGGCGACGAUCCCUAGCUGGUCUGAGAGGAUGAUCAGCCACACUGGAACUGAGACACGGUCCAGACUCCUACGGGAGGCAGCAGUGGAGAAUAUUGCACAAUGGGCGCAAGCCUGAUGCAGCCAUGCCGCGUGUAUGAAGAAGGCCUUCGGGUUGUAAAGUACUUUCAGCAGUGAGGAAGGGUGUGUAGUAAUAGCUGCAUACUUUGACGUUAGCUGCAGAAGAAGCACCGGCUAACUCCGUGCCAGCAGCCGCGGUAAUACGGAGGGUGCGAGCGUUAAUCGGAAUUACUGGGCGUAAAGCGCAUGCAGGUGGUUUGUUAAGUCAGAUGUGAAAGCCCGGGGCUCAACCUCGGAACCGCAUUUGAAACUGGCAGGCUAGAGUACUGUAGAGGGGGGUAGAAUUUCA
rnacentral:rRNA from 1 species